GGCAGUUCUCGGGUGACACACCCCAGAAUCGGGCUCCCUCCUCUCUGGUUCCAGGUGUGUCACCCAAGAACCACA
rfam:Myotis brandtii contig259133, whole genome shotgun sequence.